rnacentral:rRNA from 1 species
GAUGAACGCUGGCGGCGUGCCUAAUACAUGCAAGUCGAGCGAACGGACGAGAAGCUUGCUUCUCUGAUGUUAGCGGCGGACGGGUGAGUAACACGUGGAUAACCUACCUAUAAGACUGGGAUAACUUCGGGAAACCGGAGCUAAUACCGGAUGAUAUUUUGAACCGCAUGGUUCAAAAGUGAAAGACGGUCUUGCUGUCACUUAUAGAUGGAUCCGCGCUGCAUUAGCUAGUUGGUAAGGUAACGGCUUACCAGGCAACGAUGCAUAGCCGACCUGAGAGGGUGAUCGGACACACUGGAACUGAGACACGGUCCAGACUCCUACGGGAGGCAGCAGUAGGGAAUCUUCCACAAUGGGCGAAAGCCUGACGGAGCAACGCCGCGUGAGUGAUGAAGGUCUUCGGAUCGUAAAACUCUGUUAUUAGGGAAGAACAUAUGUGUAAGUAACUGUGCACAUCUUGACGGUACCUAAUCAGAAAGCCACGGCUAACUACGUG